rnacentral:rRNA from 1 species
UACGUAGGGUGCAAGCGUUGUCCGGAUUUACUGGGCGUAAAGCGUGCGUAGGUUGCUAUUUAAGUCAGAUGUCAAAUCCAUCAGCUUAACUGAUGUCCGCAUUUGAUACUGAAUAGCUGGAGAGUAGGAGAGGGAAGCGGAACUCAUGGUGUAGCGGUGAAAUGCGUAGAUAUCAUGAGGAACACCAGUGGCGAAGGCGGCUUCCUGGACUAUUUCUGACACUGAGGCACGAAAGCGUGGGGAGC